CACUGACAUUAGAUACCCCCGUAGUCCAGGGUGUAAACGCUGCAGACUUGGUGUUGGAAAUCCUUCGAGGGUAUUCAGUGCCGGAGAGAAGUUGUUAAGUCUGCUACUUGGGGAGUACGUCCGCAAGGAUGAAACUUAAAGGAAUUGGCGGGGGAGCACCGCAACGGGAGGAGCGUGCGGUUUAAUUGGAUUCAACACCGUAAACUCACCAGGGAAGACUGUUACAUGAAGGCCGAGAUGAAGACUCUGCUAGAUUUUUCAG
rnacentral:rRNA from 1 species